CCUACGGGAGGCUGCAGUGGGGAAUAUUGCGCAAUGGGCGAAAGCCUGACGCAGCGACGCCGCGUGAGGGAUGAAGGUCUUCGGAUCGUAAACCUCUGUCAGCAGGGAAGAACGGUCACUGUGCUAAUCAGCAGUGAAUUGCCGGUACCUGCAAAGGAAGCACCGGCUAACUCCGUGCCAGCAGCCGCGGUAAUACGGAGGGUGCGAGCGUUAAUCGGAAUUACUGGGCGUAAAGCGCUCGUAGGCGGUAUGGAAAGUCCAAGGUGAAAUCCCCGGGCUUAACGUGGGAACUGCCUUUGAAACUGGCAAACUGGAGUGUGUGAGAGGAUAGUGGAAUUCCUGGUGUAGGAGUGAAAGCCGUAGAUAUCAGGAGGAACAUCAGUGGCGAAGGCGACUAUCUGGCACAUAACUGACGCUGAGGAGCGAAAGCGUGGGUAGCAAACAGGAUUAGAUACCCUUGUAGUC
rnacentral:rRNA from 1 species